ensembl:lncRNA
CCUCAUGGCCAAUUGCAUGUGCCAGCCCAGGUGCUUGUGGUUUAUUUUGUGUAGCAGCUUCCCUGCCUUGUGGCCUUCAUGGUGGCAAUCAUAAGUUAGUCUUGGUCUGUUGUCAAAAGUGCAUCGACGCUUCCGAGCGCUUGGCCUGUGCUUUUUCUUUCAACUUGCCACCGAAGGCUGGGGCUGUUAUGGCGCUAUUGCUGUUUGGACUUCAGUGCCUCUCAUCAUAGGCUCGGUGUGCUUUGUCCAGCCUGGUGCCUGUCAGGCGUGGGCUGCUGUUCUUUCUGAUCAUUCCUAGCCAGCCCGGUCCAUAACGUAAGCUAGUCUUGGUCUGUUGUCAAAAGUGCAUCAACGCUUCCGAGUGCUUGGCCUGUGCCUUUUCUUUCAACUUGCCAACGAAGGCUGGGCUGUUAUGGCGCUAUUGCUGUUUCGGCUUCAGUGCCUCUCAUCAUAAGCUCGGUGUGCUUUGUCCAGCCUGGUGCCGUUCAGGCAUGGGCUGCUGUUGUGAUCAUUCCUAGCCAGCCCGGUCCAUAACAUCUGGGCAAGAAACACAGAGAUAACUGGCAGCUUCAGGUGUCUCCUACCCAAUUUGGUAUUUCAGCUGCCGUAUUUACAGGGUUCCGGACACACAGCUGCAGUUCUUUAACUGAGGGUAUAAGAGGAGAAAUGCAUACAGGGGAAGAUUUCUUUUUUUAAAAAAAAACCAUCUAUUGAUCCUCACUGGGGUCAUUUAAGAACAGGUCAGGUGAGGUGCCCCUCCAGGUUUUGUCAACUGCAACCUCCAUCAUCCCCCUAACCUUGGCUGUGCUUUCUGGCGCCAACGGGAAUAGUCCAGUAACUUUGGGAGGUUGAUGGGCAUUCCAUCCCCCCAGGCUCAAGUCCUUUGGGUCUUCUACUGCCAAUAUUGCUGACCCCCCCAAAUCCAUAUGAAUUCUAAAUAUAAGCUCGGAUCAUUGCCAAGCAUUUAGUUUUUUGCUCAUUUCACAGACUCUGGGGUGGCUCAGUGCGGUUUUAUGUCCAGAUCUUGUGUCUUUGGCUCACUCGGCUUGGCUGCAUCUCAGUCAUUCCGAGUGGUGUGCCUGUCCACCUUGUACAGAGAAGAGAAUUAGAUUUAGAGGAAGCAGUAAGCCCUGCAUAUGUGAAUAUGUCCCUGGUUCUUUCUGUCUUGCUUUUAGAGCUCUGAAGAGUUGCCUUCUCCAGCUUUUUUCUUUUGUUUUUUUUGCCACUUGCCAAGAAAAUACAGUGGUACCUCGUUUGACGUUAAUUCGUUCCAGUGAAAUCAAAGUAGAGCGAAAUCAUCGUCAAACGAAAUAAAAAACCCAUUGAAAUGCAUUAAAAACCAGUUAAUGCGUUCCAAUGGGCGAAAUACCUAAUUGUCCAGUGAAGAUCCUCCAUAGGGCGGCCAUUUUCUGGUGCCUGUAGAGUGAAAACUCAAUCCUAAAAAUGGUGGGGGGCCAUUUUGAAACCCAAUGAUCAGCUGUUGGAAAAUCGCUGUAAAGCGGAAAAUCGGUUCCCGAAGCAGGGAACCGAUUGUCACUAAGCGAAAAAAAAACCAUUCAAACAUCAUUUUGGGAUUGCAAAACGUUGUGAAGUGGAUUCGUCGUUAUAUGGGGUAAUUGUUAAGCGGGGCACCACUGUACAUAAUAUAGCUGCCAACUUCAUACAGUUUUCUGUGGAGCAAAUGGAUUCUUUACAGUAGGACCUGGAUUGCAAAACGUUGUGAAGUGGAUUCGUCGUUAUAUGGGGUAAUUGUUAAGCGGGGCACCACUGUACAUAAUAUAGCUGCCAACUUCAUACAGUUUUCUGUGGAGCAAAUGGAUUCUUUACAGUAGGACCUUCAUAUCCAUUGGGAGGGAUCAGUUCCAAACCCCAACACCCCCCAUGUUGAAAAACAGCAAAAGCAAUUGCAAUAUAAGUGACUGCUAUACACAGCAUGGUCUCUGGCUCCCUCUAGUGGCCAGUUCUGGUAAUGACAUAGGAAUACUGUACUUUUCUAGUUAAAAACUAUACAUAGUGUGGUGUCUGGCUCCCCCUAGUAGCCAGUUCUGAUAACUUCAUUAUUAAUACAUAUUUUGGAGAGUUUUAAUAUUUUCAGACUGUGAAUAGAUUAAUCAGUGGAUCCUGAUCCCACAGAUAAGGGUAUACUACUGUACCUGCAUUGUCAAGCUCGCUGCUUUAGUUGGAAAAAGGGACGAAGCUAGUGUAACAGGCACUGACUGAAGUCCACUAAGUUAAAUAUUAUGGACAAUACUUGAUUUUUCAAAUAUUCACAACUAGUUUGACCUUGAUAAUGGCUGUUGGCUUAGGGGUAGUG